rnacentral:rRNA from 1 species
AUGAACGCUGGCGGCGUGCCUCAUCCCUGCAAGUCGAGCGAACAGACGAGGAGCUUGCUCCUCUGACGUUAGCGGCGGACGGGUGAGUAACACGUGGAUAACCUACCUAUAAGACUGGGAUAACUUCGGGAAACCGGAGCUAAUACCGGAUAAUAUAUUGAACCGCAUGGUUCAAUAGUGAAAGACGGUUUUGCUGUCACUUAUAGAUGGAUCCGCGCCGCAUUAGCUAGUUGGUAAGGUAACGGCUUACCAAGGCAACGAUGCGUAGCCGACCUGAGAGGGUGAUCGGCCACACUGGAACUGAGACACGGUCCAGACUCCUACGGGAGGCAGCAGUAGGGAAUCUUCCGCAAUGGGCGAAAGCUUGACGGAGCAACGCCGCGUGAGUGAUGAAGGUCUUCGGAUCGUAAAACUCUGUUAUUAGGGAAGAACAAAUGUGUAAGUAACUAUGCACGUCUUGACGGUACCUAAUCAGAAAGCCACGGCUAACUACGUG